GUCCCAGUUGGGAUCAGAACCCAAACCUUUCUGUUACCCAACAUGUGCUCUUUCUCAGACAUGGCACCACCUGCUGACCAGAAGUGAGACCUAAAUUCAAGGUCAGCUCCAGCACUAGGUGGUCUUGACUAAGUCACUUACUCCGUUGGACACCAGGUCCAUCAGUGCAAUGGGAAUGAUAACGCUGCUUUAUAUACAUGGAGGGAUGCCAACAGCACAAAGGUCUCUGUGGAGAAAGCCACGGGGCGAAGUAUUUGGCAACUGCUGCUAAUCGAGUAGAAGGACGAAGCCAGACGCCAGACAAUCAAAGGCAGUGUGGAAUAGGAGGAAACGCAGACAUGUUCGAGCAUUCUAGCGGUGAAUUCGGACCAAGAAGCAAGAAAGAAGGCUGUCGUGGAGGGGUCACUUGCAGGUCGUAUUUCUGAAUGACGAGCCAGUAGCUUUCUGCUGAAACCACGGGGGCCUGCUCUGGGACGAGCCCCCGGCUGCCGGAGUACGUGCAGGUGGGGUCUUACAAUAUUUAUGGACUUCAGACGCAUGCCCUCCGGAGCUCCAGGAGGCGAAAGCACAUUCCAGAUGCAUAAAGGCUGAGUAUCCCUGCGUGAAACGCCACGGGAGGCCCCGGUCUCAGCGGAGGCCGGGUGGGUGCCGGUGGAGAUGAGGAGUCCAGAGCCUGAGGCCAACCGGCUUCGGGGCAGGCACCCUCUGGGGCGACUCCUCCUGUGGCUCUUGGCAGAAAAACCGCAGAGAGACCCUUCCCUGAGGGGGUUAUUUAAUUUUCUCGUCACAUUAUUUAACGCGACCACUGUCGCGUACUCCUGUGGGAGCACGAGUAUAGCUGUCUGCUGGCUCUUUCCCUCCCCUGUUAAAGGCUGAACUCCUUCGGGUGACAGAAAUAGGUUACCCUUGUUUCGGAAGGUGCUAGAAGUAAAUCCAGCACUUCAUCGGUGUUCGUUAUACAAAAGGCGGCUUGUUCUCCGUGGCUGGGGUGACUGCAGUGCCUUUGGCCCCAGACCUUGGUCCCGGGCCUUUUGGCAAAGAGGGUUUACAAAGGAGUGACUGUAAUGAAGGAUAAAAGGCCACAGUCUGCUGAAGGUGAAGGGGUAGAGAACAGCAACUUUUGUGUCCUCGGGGCCAGGAAGAACCACCUGGGGCUUCUCGGGUGUGAGUUUAAUCUGCCAGUGACUGUGAUAAGGCAUCCUUUUUCCGGACACGUUAUCUGUCGCCACACCACACGGACCCUCACCAGCUGACAGGAUAGCAGGGGCCAUGCAGAGGCUGGGAGGGGGACGCCGGGAGAACAGAAAUCAGGCAUUUUGCCAGUUAAGACAACGUCGGCUUCUGGUGGGUAAACCAGAGGUGAAAGCAGGGCACUGGGGCGGCUGGUUCGCCGUGAAUGAGGUUCCUGCCCACCUCAGAAGUGGGCAGAACACCCCAGGCGGCACUUCUCACGGAGGAGGGAGGCAAGAGGCAGUCCUAGCAGAUGCGGGGACAGCCUUUUUCCUGUGAAUUCAAGCUAUGUGGCGCUCUCAAUGGCAGGCCCCAAAGAAACAAAUGAUACUUUGAAGCCUCGACACUGAAAAUAUUUCUUCUGCAACCACGGAACGGAACAACAGGUGAUCUUAGGAGGCCCUUAAGAGUCAUUGAGCUCAAUGUCUGUGUCUGAACAACUUGGAGAGUGAGGGGCAGAGACCCCAGCUCUCAGCUUCUGGAAUCCAGGCCAUCUUUCCACUGCACCCUUGCGUCUGCUCUAGGCUGUAGGGCGCUUUUGAGGAUACACGUAGAAAAGCAAACCGCAGCCGUGGUUUCAUUGUGUAAUAAUAACCGUAUUAGCUGAGUUCUUCCAAUGGCUGUGACUUUGAGAAACUCCUGACAAUGUUCUGCUCCUCAAGGUCGGGAAUCUGUGCAUAUUUUUUCCUCCCGAGAUCUGUUGCUCAGGUCCCAUGUAUACAAUAUGGAUCAUCCUUCUAGUGAAUUCCUCUUUCUGCCCCAGUUCAUUCCUGUGGCUUCUACUUGAAGAACCCUAACUGAUACCCUCGCGUAUGUCGCAUUCAUUCAUUCAUUCAUUCUUUCACUCACCGUUUAUUUAGCACCACCACCUGCUGGGCACAGAUAUCAGUACCGAUGAAACAUGACUCCUGUCUUCAAGGACUUCAAGUUUAAUGGGGAAGAGAUACAAGUAAGAAGAAAGGCAGCAGCGCAGUUUGUAAGUGCAUGCCAGGGAACAGGAAGUGAAAGCAGCUGAGACUCCAUGGAGUCAGGGAAG